CUUGAAACACGGACCAAGGAGUCUGACAUGUGCGCAAGUCAUGGGGUCUUACGAAACCUAAAGGCGCAAUAAAAGUGAAGGCCUUCCUCUCGGAGGGCUGAGGUGUGAUCUGGCUGGCUUCGGCCGCUAAGGCUGGCGCAACACCGGCCCGUCCCGUGGUCUUUGGACCUGGGGCGGCGCUAGAGCGUGCAUGUCAGGACCCGAAAGAUGGUGACCUAUGCCUGAGGAGGUCGAAGCCAGAGGAAACUCUGGUGGAGGACCGUAGCGAUUCUGACGUGCAAAUCGAUCGUCGCACUUGGGUAUAGGGGCGAAAGACUAAUCGAACCGUCUAGUAGCUGGUUCCCUCCGAAGUUUCCCUCAGGAUAGCUGGCGCUCGCUGAAGCAGUUUUAUCCGGUAAAGCGAAUGAUUAGAGGCCUUGGGGACGAAACGUCUUCAACCUAUUCUCAAACUUUAAAUGGGUAAGACGUCGGACUCGCCUAGGCGGAGCCCGGCAGUGAAUGCUGAGUGCCCAGUGGGCCACUUUUGGUAAGCAGAACUGGCGCUGUGGGAUGAACCAAACGUCUGGUUAAGGUGCCCAACGGGGAAGCUCAUCAGACCCCAUAAAAGGUGUUGGUUGGUAUAGACAGCAGGACGGUGGCCAUGGAAGUCGGCA
rnacentral:rRNA from 1 species